UACGGAGGGAGCUAGCGUUAUUCGGAAUUACUGGGCGUAAAGCGCACGUAGGCGGCUUUGUAAGUAAGAGGUGAAAGCCCAGAGCUCAACUCUGGAAUUGCCUUUUAGACUGCAUCGCUUGAAUCAUGGAGAGGUCAGUGGAAUUCCGAGUGUAGAGGUGAAAUUCGUAGAUAUUCGGAAGAACACCAGUGGCGAAGGCGACUCACUGGACACGUAUUGACGCUGAGGUGCGAAAGCGUGGGUAGCAAACAGG
rnacentral:rRNA from 1 species